CAGUCGCCGCGGUAAUACGAAGGGUGCAAGCGUUACUCGGAAUUACUGGGCGUAAAGCGUGCGUAGGUGGUGGUUUAAGUCCGUUGUGAAAGCCCUGGGCUCAACCUGGGAAUUGCAGUGGAUACUGGGUCACUAGAGUGUGGUAGAGGAUAGUGGAAUUUCCGGUGUAGCAGUGAAAUGCGUAGAGAUCGGAAGGAACAUCUGUGGCGAAGGCGACUAUCUGGGCCAACACUGACACUGAGGCACGAAAGCGUGGGGAGCAAACAGGAUUAGAUACCCCCGUAGUCCCUGUCUAUUAUAC
rnacentral:rRNA from 1 species